GUGUUCAUCAGAGAGAGAGUCACUCUGACAUGUGAAAUAGAAAGUGGAGAUGACUGGAAUUAUGAAUGGUAUAAGAAUAAUAAUCUUCUCAGAGAUGCUCAAAGGAAGAAAUAUGAAAUCUCUAAUGUUGAUCAGUCUCAUGCAGGUGUUUAUACCUGUAAGGGAAGACAAAAGACAAGCCAAACAUACACACUCCCCAGUGAAGCUGUAACACUGACUGUAUCAGAGAGACCAAAAGCUACAGUGAAAGUCCAGCCAGCUGAUCAUGUGUUCAUCAGAGAGAGAGUCACUCUGACAUGUGAAAUAGAAAGUGGAGAUUACUGGAAUUAUGAAUGGUAUAAGAAUAAUAAUCUUCUCAGAGAUGCUCAAAGGAAGAAAUAUGAAAUCUCUAAUGUUGAUCAGUCUCAUGCAGGUGUUUAUACCUGUAAGGGAACAAAGUCAACAGGCCGAAUAUACACACACACCAGUGAAGCUGUUACACUGACUGUAUCAGAGAGACCAAAAGCUACAGUGAAAGUCCAGCCAG